CUAAGGGAUUAGGACAGAAACCUUCUAAGUUUUUAAUGUAGGUUCGAAUCCUACUAAGC
rnacentral:tRNA from 15 species